AUUUGGCAUUGUCUAUAAGUGAUUGGUGGAAUGGGUCCUGACAGAAGGUGGUGCGCCCACAACCAGAUGGCAAGGCAGCCGUGUGCAAAAGAAAACUUCAAGAAGAAUACAAGAGCCUCUUAGACGGCGAUCUGACCGACUGCCGACCACCCAAUGAGAAC